rnacentral:rRNA from 1 species
AGUAGCGAAGUUCCUGAUGUCACACUGCCAAGAAAAGCUUCUAGUGAGAAAGUAACUGCCCGUACCGCAAACCGACACAGGUAGUUGAGGAGAGAAUCCUAAGGUGUGCGAGAGAACUCUCGUUAAGGAACUCGGCAAAAUGACCCCGUAACUUCGGGAGAAGGGGUGCUGACCGUAAGGUCAGCCGCAGUGAAUAGGCCCAAGCGACUGUUUAUCAAAAACACAGGUCUCUGCAAAAUCGAAAGAUGACGUAUAGGGGCUGACGCCUGCCCGGUGCUGGAAGGUUAAGAGGAGAGGUUAGCGCAAGCGAAGCUUUGAAUUGAAGCCCCAGUAAACGGCGGCCGUAACGAUAACGGUCCUAAGGUAGCGAAAUUCCUUGUCGGGUAAGUUCCGACCCGCACGAAAGGCGUAACGAUUUGGGCACUGUCUCAACGAGAGACUCGGUGAAAUUAUAGUACCAGUGAAGAUGCUGGUUACCCGCGACAGGACGGAAAGACCCCAUGGAGCUUUACUGCAGUUUGAUAUUGCGUGUUUGUAUCACAUGUACAGGAUAGGUAGGAGCCGAAGAUACCGGGACGCCAGUCUCGGAGGAGGCAACGGUGGGAUACUACCCUUGUGAUAUGACCACUCUAACCCGCUGCUCUUAGCGAGCAGGGAGACAGUGUCAGACGGGCAGUUUGACUGGGGCGGUCGCCUCCAAAAAUGUAACGGAGGCGCCCAAAGGUUCCCUCAGAAUGGUUGGAAAUCAUUCGUAGAGUGUAAAGGCAGAAGGGAGCUUGACUGCGAGACCUACAAGUCGAGCAGGGACGAAAGUCGGGCUUAGUGAUCCGGUGGUUCCGCAUGGAAGGGCCAUCGCUCAACGGAUAAAAGCUACCCUGGGGAUAACAGGCUUAUCUCCCCCAAGAGUUCACAUCGACGGGGAGGUUUGGCACCUCGAUGUCGGCUCAUCGCAUCCUGGGGCUGUAGUCGGUCCCAAGGGUUGGGCUGUUCGCCCAUUAAAGCGGUACGCGAGCUGGGUUCAGAACGUCGUGAGACAGUUCGGUCCCUAUCCGUCGCGGGCGUUGGAAAUUUGAGAGGAGCUGUCCUUAGUACGAGAGGACCGGGAUGGACACACCGCUGGUGUACCAGUUGUUCUGCCAAGAGCAUCGCUGGGUAGCUAUGUGUGGACGGGAUAAACGCUGAAAGCAUCUAAGCGUGAAGCCCCCCUCAAGAUGAGAUUUCCCAUCACUUUAAGUGAGUAAGACCCCUGAGAGAUGAUCAGGUAGAUAGGUUGGGAGUGGAAGUACAGCGAUGUAUGGAGCGGACCAAUACUAAUCGGUCGAGGACUUAACC